UACGAAGGGGGCUAGCGUUGCUCGGACUCACUGGGCGUAAAGCGCACGUAGGCGGAUUGUUAAGUCAGGGGUGAAAUCCUGGAGCUCAACUCCAGAACUGCCUUUGAUACUGGCAAUCUCGAGUCCGGGAGAGGUGAGUGGAACUGCGAGUGUAGAGGUGAAAUUCGUAGAUAUUCGCAAGAACACCAGUGGCGAAGGCGGCUCACUGGCCCGGUACUGACGCUGAGGUGCGAAAGCGUGGGGAGCAAACAGG
rnacentral:rRNA from 1 species